UACGGAGGGUGCAAGCGUUAUCCGGAUUCACUGGGUUUAAAGGGUGCGUAGGAGGGCAGGUAAGUCAGUGGUGAAAUCCCCGAGCUUAACUUGGGAGCUGCCGUUGAUACUAUCUGUCUUGAAUAUCGUGGAGGUGAGCGGAAUAUGUCAUGUAGCGGUGAAAUGCUUAGAUAUGACAUAGAACACCAAUUGCGAAGGCAGCUCGCUACACGAAUAUUGACUCUGAGGCACGAAAGCGUGGGGAUCAAACAGG
rnacentral:rRNA from 1 species